rnacentral:rRNA from 2 species
CUGGUGUCAGCCGCCGCGGUAAUACCAGCACCCCGAGUGGUCGGGACGAUUAUUGGGCCUAAAGCAUCCGUAGCCGGUACUGCAAGUCUUCCGUUAAAUCCACCUGCUCAACAGUUGGGCUGCGGGGGAUACUACAGCGCUAGGAGGCGGGAGAGGCAAGCGGUACUUAAUGGGUAGGGGUAAAAUCCACUGAUCCAUUGAAGACCACCAGUGGCGAAGGCGGCUUGCCAGAGCGCGCUCGACGGUGAGGGAUGAAAGCUGGGGGAGCAAACCGGAUUAGAUACCCGGGUAGUCCCAGCUGUAAACGAUGCAGACUCGGUGAUGGGCUGGCCUUGUGCCAACCCAGUGCCGCAGGGAAGCCGUUAAGUCUGCCGCCUGGGGAGUACGGUCGCAAGACUGAAACUUAAAG